rnacentral:rRNA from 1 species
AUGUCGUCAGCCUCUACGCCCACGGCCGUGGCGGUGGCGCGGCCGGCGGGGAGGUACGCCGUGUACGUCGCGGCCGUGCCGCUGAGGGCCCCUCAGGGUCCGGCCCAGGCCAUGAUGUCUUCGGCCUACUCGUUGUGUCUGUGGGACCUUCAGCACUUCAUGGUGCUCCUCCGGCCCGACCCUGCCCGAACCCCAACCCGAGCCCAGGAGUCGUUGGUGUUCGAUUUCCAGCCUCGCCACCCGGAGGAUGCUCUCGCCGCCUUCUCCGUGCUCUCGCGGAGCAAAAUACCGGGGGUGGUUCGGAGGAGAAGGCUGCGGAGGAUCCCUGACAGGAGGAGCUGGUUCGUCGGCCUCAGCGACGGCGACGCCGCCGACGCCGCCGAGAGGUUCAGCGAGCGGUGGCCUACCGACCUGGUCGUCGGGAACCACGACUGCCGUGACUACACCAACGGGCUGGUGGAGGUCUUGACAGGACAAAAACGUGUCCUCGACGCGCUGAGAUCAGCAGGUCGCCAAUGA